GAAAAGAAGAAGAAGUGCCGGAAGUGAUCCGCGGCAUCUUUGUUGGCAAGGGCAAUGCAUAACCGGACCCAAGACUUCAAUACCAACAAAAAGAAAAUGUGGACACACAAUCUUGACCAAUAUGCAAGAGAAAGAUACUUGAACAAAAUUACUACUCUCGGAAUCGACCGGAAUGAGACGGAGAAGGAAAAUAUGUCAGACGAAGACUGAGUCCACAUGGAGGAGCUUCGCGGCCUGCAAUCUAUGUUUAACCAGUGUUUAAACAGAUGUUUAAGUGAUUUACUGGAGUCCAACAGCGGACCACUGCGACCCCAUUAUGACCCUUGAUGUGGCCACUCAGCAGUGCGGGGCUUGCAGACUGAAAGGGGAGGCCUUGGAGGGAUUUCUGGGCUGCACUGCUUUGCAAAGUUUGAGAGGACCCUGAUGUUUCCAACCCUCUCCAUCUGCAGUCUGACCUCUGCUAUUCUUCACUAUGAUUCCUGUGUGUUCAAAGGCGGCAGGAUGUCAGUAAUUGGAAGGGAUGUGAUGGAGUCGGAGGCCCCCCCCACUCCUCUUCGUUGGAAGGCCCCUAGCACUGAAGAGGUGAUCUCCAUUCAACUCAUUGCGACACUUAUGGCAUCAACUGGCUGGGCCUCUGUGGAAAUAGGCCAGUCUCUUUGAAGGGGGUUUCAACAUGGGGGCUGUUUCCAGUCAUCAUUUCCCAGCCCCGGCAGUCCUCUACACUGAGCCUACUUCUUACAUACUUGUUUUUCAGUCUGGGUUUGGGAGCCUGAUGUCUUGAUGAAAUUUUAAUAUGCAAUGUCACUGAAGUAACCCAAUGCUAUCUGCCAUUACAGUGGACUGUAAAAUGAUUCACUCAAUAAUUUUGUUAUUUUCUUUAAGUUCCAAACAGAAACUUCAAUGUACUUCUUUAGGAUUUUAUGGCAUGAACUUGU